CAGGGAGACAAUAAAUUGAUUGUGAUGUCUAAGUUAUUUAUUCUUAGGCCGCAAUCCUGUCACCUUAAGGUCGAUCGGUACCUCAGAUUUUUGAAUUAGUUUUAUAAUUGAUUCUUUGAUUUCAGUUCCUAAACUUGUCUAGGUCACACCCAACAAAGGUUUCUCCUGGGCCAUUAGCUCAGGUGGUUAGAGCGCACCCCUGAUAAGGGUGAGGUCCCUGGUUCAAGUCCAGGAUGGCCCAUUCGUUGUUGGGGGUAUAGCUCAGUUGGUAGAGCGCCUGCUUUGCAAGCAGGAUGUCAGCGGUUCGAGUCCGCUUACCUCCACUGAAAACUAUCCUGAUAACUAAAUUCUGGAGAAAAAAAUUGUAGAUGUGGCUUGGAAUUGUCUAUUUGAAGAGAACCUAGCUUCUUGUCAUCUUUUUAUAGUUGAUAAAAUGCUGGGCUCGCAUGGAUUAUUUCCAUGAGAAUUCAGUAGAACCUUGAAAACUGCAUAGAUUAGAAAGAAUAAAGCAUCUCAUGGAUGCAUAAUUCUGUUUUUAUAAUUUAGCCUUAAAACUAAAUUAUUUAAUUCUAGAAUUCAUGUUUAAUUCUUGAGUAAAAGCCGAGCACAAUUGAUUUUGUGAUUGUAUUUAA
rnacentral:tRNA from 1 species